rnacentral:lncRNA from 1 species
GGAAAAAUACCGCAGCAGUGCCAGAAAAACACCACUGAGCGAUUGUUGAAGUGCAGGGGUGCAACAGGAGCACUGACAAAAUUCCCCAAUUAAGGGAUCUCCGAUAAGAAUGCUCCAAGACGCUGGAUGAGAUGGCGAACAGACGGGCCGCACAGAAUUCCCGGGCGAGUACUGGAAGGCCCCCCAUCGGAGAACUUUCUUCAAUCAGCGUCUUGCGGGUUUUCCCCGGGAGGAGGCAGGCCUCUCGAGAGCUCAUGGUCCGCGGUCACCACGAGGCUACGACACUUCUUCUCUCAGCCACAGAUGAGCCUCGGUCUGAGGGUGACCUGGUUUUCUGUGCUGCGGCAGGUGUGGGCUACCAACGCGGUGGAGGGAUGCACUUGACUCGCCACGUGCCACGCGUUACAUGUUUCCGCCUUCACCCGCCUUGCUUUUGCGAAGAUUGUUGGGGCUUCCAAGAACGGUCACACCUGAGCAUCGAGAGGGUGUGAGUAACUACGCUUGGCUCUUCUGCUUCUUUCAUGGAUGGCCACAGUCCUCCAAAGACUCAACCAUGAUGUGAAUCUUCUCUGGUCACAACAAUCAAGUUUGGCAAUCUGUCUAUCAGUCUGAACUUUCUUUUCACUGGGGUUCAAAACAGCUUUUAAGUCACGUUCAUCUGUAAAGAACAGAUUCUGAAAGAGCACCUAGCUGCUAAGAAAUCUGGAUGUUCGUUGGGCAGCAGAGCGAUGCCAACACUGGCAUGACCUGUGGCUCAUAGGCCAGCGCAGCUGCACCUUCACUCUUCAGCAUGUAGUUGGGGUCUUGUCACACCCUUCCACACUGUACCAACCCCCUGAGCACUUUCUUCUUUCUUAUCAGUGGGUCUGCCAGUGCAUUCACAGAGAAAAUAAACACAAACAUGC